rnacentral:rRNA from 1 species
GGCUCAGGAUGAACGCUAGCGGCAGGCUUAACACAUGCAAGUCGAGGGGCAUCGGGAGUAGCAAUACUUGCCGGCGACCGGCGCAAGGGUGCGUAACGCGUGAGCAACAUGCCCGUAUCAGGGGGGAUAAUCCAUGGAAACGUGGUCUAAUACCCCAUAGUAAUUAUGUAAGGCAUCUUAUAUAAUUUAAAGCUUUGGUGGAUACGGAUUGGCUCGCGUGACAUUAGCUGGAUGGUAAGGUAACGGCUUACCAUGGCUACGAUGUCUAGGGGUUCUGAGAGGAAGGUCCCCCACACUGGAACUGAGACACGGUCCAGACUCCUACGGGAGGCAGCAGUGAGGAAUAUUGGACAAUGGAUGGAAAUCUGAUCCAGCCAUGCCGCGUGCAAGGAAGACGGCCCUAUGGGUUGUAAACUGCUUUUGUAUGGGAGCAAUAAGGGCUACGUGUAGUCCGAUGAGAGUACCAUACGAAUAAGCACCGGCUAACUCCGUGCCAGCCGCCGC